GAUGAACGCUGGCGGCGUGCCUAAUACAUGCAAGUCGAGCGAACAGACGAGGAGCUUGCUCCUCUGACGUUAGCGGCGGACGGGUGAGUAACACGUGGAUAACCUACCUAUAAGACUGGGAUAACUCGGGAAACCGGAGCUAAUACCGGAUAAUAUAUUGAACCGCAUGGUUCAAUAGUGAAAGACGGUUUUGCUGUCACUUAUAGAUGGAUCCGCGCCGCAUUAGCUAGUUGGUAAGGUAACGGCUUACCAAGGCGACGAUGCGUAGCCGACCUGAGAGGGUGAUCGGCCACACUGGAACUGAGACACGGUCCAGACUCCUACGGGAGGCAGCAGUAGGGAAUCUUCCGCAAAGGGCGAAAGCCUGACGGAGCAACGCCGCGUGAGUGAUGAAGGUCUUCGGAUCGUAAAACUCUGUUAUUAGGGAAGAACAAAUGUGUAAGUAACUAUGCACGUCUUGACGGUACCUAAUCAGAAAGCCACGGCUAACUACGUG
rnacentral:rRNA from 1 species